UCCAGGGAUGGUAACCUAGUGGACAUGGCAUCUGCCCGGUAAGCGGAACACUGUGGGUUCGAUUCCCAUCCCUGGAA